GGGUUGUGAGGUUAAGCGACUAAGCGUACACGGUGGAUGCCUAGGCAGUCAGAGGCGAUGAAGGGCGUGCUAAUCUGCGAUAAGCGUCGGUAAGGUGAUAUGAACCGCAAUAACCGACGAUACCCGAAUGGGGAAACCCAGUGUGAUACGUCACACUAUCAUGUCAUGAAUACAUAGUGGCAUGAGGCGAACCGGGGGAACUGAAACAUCUAAGUACCCCGAGGAAAAGAAAUCAACCGAGAUUCCCCCAGUAGCGGCGAGCGAACGGGGAACAGCCCAGAACCUGAAUCAGUUUGUGCAUUAGUGGAAGCGUCUGGAAAGUCGCAGGGUACAGGGUGAUACUCCCGUACACAAAAAUGCACUUACUGUGAGUUCGAUGAGUAGGGCGGGACACGUGACAUCCUGUCUGAAUAUGGGGGGACCAUCCUCCAAGGCUAAAUACUCCUGACUGACCGAUAGUGAACCAGUACCGUGAGGGAAAGGCGAAAAGAACCCCGGCGAGGGGAGUGAAACAGAACCUGAAACCGUGUACGUACAAGCAGUGGGAGCCUACUUGUUAGGUGACUGCGUACCUUUUGUAUAAUGGGUCAGCGACUUAUAUUCUGUAGCAAGGUUAACCGUAUAGGGGAGCCGAAGGGAAACCGAGUCUUAACUGGGCGUUAAGUUGCAGGGUAUAGACCCGAAACCCGGUGAUCUAGCCAUGGGCAGGUUGAAGGUUGGGUAACACUAACUGGAGGACCGAACCGACUAAUGUUGAAAAAUUAGCGGAUGACUUGUGGCUGGGGGUGAAAGGCCAAUCAAACCGGGAGAUAGCUGGUUCUCCCCGAAAGCUAUUUAGGUAGCGCCUCGUGAACUCAUCUUCGGGGGUAGAGCACUGUUUCGGCUAGGGGGCCAUCCCGGCUUACCAACCCGAUGCAAACUGCGAAUACCGAAGAAUGUUAUCACGGGAGACACACGGCGGGUGCUAACGUCCGUCGUGAAGAGGGAAACAACCCAGACCGCCAGCUAAGGUCCCAAAGUCAUGGUUAAGUGGGAAACGAUGUGGGAAGGCACAGACAGCCAGGAUGUUGGCUUAGAAGCAGCCAUCAUUUAAAGAAAGCGUAAUAGCUCACUGGUCGAGUCGGCCUGCGCGGAAGAUGUAACGGGGCUAAACCAUGCACCGAAGCUGCGGCAGCGAUACGCAAGUAUUGUUGGGUAGGGGAGCGUUCUGUAAGCCGUCGAAGGUGGACUGUGAGGUCUGCUGGAGGUAUCAGAAGUGCGAAUGCUGACAUAAGUAACGAUAAAGCGGGUGAAAAGCCCGCUCGCCGGAAGACCAAGGGUUCCUGUCCAACGUUAAUCGGGGCAGGGUGAGUCGACCCCUAAGGCGAGGCCGAAAGGCGUAGUCGAUGGGAAACAGGUUAAUAUUCCUGUACUCGGUGUUACUGCGAAGGGGGGACGGAGAAGGCUAUGUUAGCCGGGCGACGGUUGUCCCGGUUUAAGCGUGUAGGCUUGAGUUCCAGGCAAAUCCGGAACUCUUUAAGGCUGAGGCGUGAUGACGAGGCACUACGGUGCUGAAGUAACAAAUGCCCUGCUUCCAGGAAAAGCCUCUAAGCAUCAGGUAACAUCGAAUCGUACCCCAAACCGACACAGGUGGUCAGGUAGAGAAUACCAAGGCGCUUGAGAGAACUCGGGUGAAGGAACUAGGCAAAAUGGUGCCGUAACUUCGGGAGAAGGCACGCUGCC
rnacentral:rRNA from 1 species